GAAUUUUGAACCUCUCCGUUGGCUCCACUUUCUACUUUGCAUUUUGUGUGAACAUAAUUUGUCCACCACAGGUUACCUGCCACUGUUCCUGGGUCUGCUUCUCUCCUGCCAGCUGUCAGCAGCCACGGCACCCUACCCUCUGCUUGUCCAGAACAGGAGCCACCGAAUGCUGCUGCCCUGAGUUAUGGCAAGUCCUAGCUAGUCCUAAGAGGGAGGAGUUCCCUGAGACUGAACACUAUGGAGAAAAGACAGCGAAACAGAAAGGAAGAGUGAGGGACCUUGCCAUGGAAAUUCAGGAGGAGGAAGUUGCAGGGAAGACAGGCCCAAUAUCAGGAUGAAUUUCUACAGCCAAGACUGUUCAAAGAUGGACUUUCUCCUUGAUGGGAUAAAAAGGACAUUCAGGUUUAUUGGAUUGACCAUCUCUUGGUAAUGAUGUAGGUAAAAAAGUCAAAUUCACAAGUGACAGAGCCAAAUGCUUGUUUGAUUGAUCUUUUUUAGCUCAGUUCUGGACCUUUUGGAAGACCUGGACAUGCCUUCUUCCUGAGUGAGUGAGAAUGUUCUGGCAUAGGAUAGUCUGGAGCUGAGACUGGCAGGGGCAAUGAAGUGUUACUCUCAGAAAUAGCACAUCUUUACCCUAUUCCGUUUGUGUGCUCCCUCUGUGCCAGGUAACAGAGGAAUGCCUGCAAGACCCAGUCCCAGCCCUCGGCAAACUCAAAGUGGAGCUGGGAAAACAAAAUACCUUCUGAGAGGUGGGUGGGCCAUCCUAUAGCUGUGGUUCAAAGAGGCGGCAGCCAACUUUAUUAAAGAUGUAGGUUAAGCUUUAUUUUCUGCAGGUGUCCUUUGUAACAUGGAAUACAUCUGGGGAGGGAUAAAUUGUUAUAACGUGGCUUAUUUUACUCAUGGUAGUAAGGCAUACCAGAAUCACUUUCCACAAACAUUUGUGGGGCUUCUACUACCAACCAGGCAUAGUUCUG
rnacentral:lncRNA from 1 species